rnacentral:rRNA from 1 species
AAUUGCCUAACGGCUGAACCAGCAACUUGGAGGAAUGUAAGCAAAAGCUAAUAUACUGUAAAUAUAUAUAACACAGUAUAUAUUGAUUUACUCGAAUAAAAUUCAGGGUGAAUUAUGAUAAUGACAUUUUUUGCUUUCUAGUCUUGACCAAACUACGUGCCAGCAGUCGCGGUAAUACGUAGAAGACAAGUGUUAUUCAUCUUUAAUAGGUUUAAAGGGUACCUAGACGGUAAAUAAAGCCAUAAGAAGGGACUAAUUUGCUAGAGUUACUUAUGAGGGAGCUUUAAGGUACUGGUGGUGUAGAGAUGAAAUUCAUUGAUACCUUUGUUCUUGGGAAUGAAAAAGGCACGAUCAAUGGCGAAAGCAUCUCCUUAUGUGAUAACUGACGUUGAGGGACGAAGGCGUCAUGUAACAAAGAGGAUUAGGUACCCAAUUAGUUGAUAAGCAGACAAUGAUGAGUGUCAUAGAUUAGAUAAUAAUUUAUUCUAUAAAUGAUAGUGUAAGCACUCCACCUCAAGAGUAAUUUGGCAACAUUGGAACUGAAAUCAUUAGACCGUUUCUGAUACCAGUAGUGAAGUAUGUUGUUUAAUUUGAUGAUCCGCAAAAAACCUUACCACAUUACAAGCUAUGCUAUAUGACCAAAAAAAGAAAUUAAUAUGGUUGGUAUACUUGAAUAUUUAUACUAAUAGUGUAUCUACAAGCGUUGCACGGCUGUCUUCAGUUAAUGUCGUCAGAUUCUGGUUAGUUCCAUAAAAUUAACGUAAACCCUUGCUCUUUUUUUUAAAUAGAGCAGUUCUCCAUGACAUUGGUAAGAUAAUAGGGACUAGGACAAGUCAUCAUGGCCGAAAUGUAGU